UUAGCUGGGCGUGGUGGCACACGCCUGUAAUCCCAGCUACUCGGGAGGCUGAGGGAGGAGAAUUGCUUGAACCUGGGAGAUGGAGGGGGCAGUGAGCCGAGAUUGUGCCACUGCACUCUAGCGGGGCAACAGAGUGAGACUCCAUGUCAAUUGAAAAAAAAAAAAAUUAUGUGGUAAACAAUUAGUCAUAUGAAAACACUUCUAGGAGGUACCAAGUUUCAUCUCAUAAAAUGUAGCAUUAAACUCAGAAAUCAAGAUGAUAGGAUAUAGAAUACAGAUAAUCACCUCUACAAAUUUACCCUGCAAAGAGAGUAACUGAUGUUUUUAUGAAUCUGUGUAACUCACCACUUAUAUACCACGUUUUCUUAUAAAAAUGUAUUAAUUUUGUACAGCCAAAUAAAAUAGAUUUUCCCUAUUCUUUUCCUUGGUAGCAUUCUAAAAGCUAAGCCUUGGAAUUCUGUUGAAAAUCACUCAGCCAUAAAAUAAAAGACACCUGAGAAGAUUCCUAAACUCACUCUGGGAAAGAGAAAGGUCACGGAGCCACAGAGGCUGGACCUCUAGCAGCAGAGGACACUGAAGACUGAAGACGAGAAGCGGAGCUCCAACUGCAGCCAGAGACAAAGGCCCCGCCACAUCCCGGAAGCCACCCUGUCCUCUCCUGCCCCGUGCCUGAUUGGAUGGUUUCCAGCCCAGCGUCCCUGAUUGGAUAACUUCUAAGGUCCUGCCCCCGCAAACCCUGAAUGAAAGAUGUGAUCAGACGCUGGGCUGAAAGAAUAAAGAAUGACAGCCUAGGCUGCCGCCUUUUCAGGCAGGGCUUCCUCCCUGAGCAGAGCAGGCCCAACCCAGAGGGUAUUUGCCUUUAACCUUGUGUAUAAGGUCAUCUUCACUUAUAAGUAAUAUACUAUAUGGCUACUAAAAAAUGAAACUAAUUGUUUUUGAAUUUCAGCUUUUAUGACCUUCCUGG
rnacentral:lncRNA from 1 species